GCAGACCAAACAAUUCACCAGCAAGACGUGUGAACCUAUUGAUCAGGGAGCAUGCACCCAACACCGCAAGCAAGAAAAGCAAGAUGCCUGUCCAUACACAUACCCUAGAAUAGACAGAGAAAAGUAAAAUACAAGAUUAACUUUUUGUUGCCACCAGACAUGUACCUCUUCUAUUGCUAUUUAUACAGUUGGUAAAGUAAAUUAAACAGAUACCAUCCUGUCCAGGCUAAGAAUAGUUCCUGUCCCAGUUCCUUUCGGUCCUUUGCAAAGUCGAACAUGAACGUAUACAUCAAAACAGUUGGUUCAGCAACACCAAGGAUAAGCAGAGGCUGUCCCCCAAAGACUGAGUGGAUAAUGCCACAAAAUGCUGUUGAUGCUAGAGUUUGUACGGCAGUUAGAGUCCCGUAUGUAUUCCUUUCUAGCUGCUCCCCAAACGAUAUAACCGGAAUUGCUGAAGCAAAGAAUAUA
rnacentral:misc_RNA from 1 species